CCCCAACCCUAAGUUUUUUCAUGUUCUUGAAAAAUCCUCAACUGCCUAUAAAACCCCCUAGACAAACACACCACUACAGACUCUCUUGUCCCCUCCUGGCGUGAGCCAGGAGCUCUCUCCUUUCACUGUAUCUCUAAAUAAAAGCAUGUACCUUGCUCUCCUACCUUGACUGUUUGUGAAGCUCAUUCUUCGGCUCCGCAAACAAGAACCCCGGCAUCAGUAGCAUUAAGUGUUGUCAUUGUUUUAUGGUUUACGAUAGUAAUGAUAGUGAAUGAUUCUGAGCUGCCUCCUCCCCUCCAGGCCUCAACCUUGCUGCCGUUUUUCAUGACCAGUGCCAGGUGGAAGUGUUUCUUCAGGCUGCCACGGCUGGGUGAAAACUGAUCACAGAGGCAGAGUUGAGAGUCCUGUUGUUUAUGGAUUCUCUGGGAAAUCAUAGGUGUUUAGCAGAGAUACACAAUACCGGCCCUCUUUGUAUCAGAUGCCGAAAAUGAGUCUGAAAGAGAAGCAGGGCUUUACUGAAGGCCCCAUAGUCGGGAAGCAGCAGGGCCUGGAUUCAGACCCAAGCCUGUCCUACCUUAGGGCGAGCCCACAUUAUUUCCCUGGCAACGGGCAGAUUGCCUAGUGACUUACACCAAGACGGGAAGGAGUCGUCUUAAUGGGAAAUCGACAAGCUUUGAACUUACUUUCAGAUACACAUUGGAUAUCAAGUAAGUGGUUGCAGUUAAUGGUAGAAGCUAGGGUUUGUACAUAACAGAAUUUUUACCGACUGUUCAUUAUGAAAUUUUAACAACACACACAAAUGUAAUAUGGUAUAAAGAACUCCCACAUACCCAGCACCUAGUAUUGGCAGUCAUCUACAUUUUGUUUUAUCUAUUUUCCUCUUGCACAUCUAAGCAUAUUUUUUCCCAUAGUUUUUUUUUCUUAAGCAAAUCCAGAUGUCCUGUCAUUUUAUCAUAACUUUGCAAAUAUGCUGAAUUUUGGAGUUGUUGAUGUAUAGAUACAUGGUAUUUAAAACCCUGGGAUUUGCUAAAACCAAUCCCAGUCCAUGAGAGCAGAGACUAGGCCCUGGGGCCUCCCACAUUUAGGAAUGGGGAAAGGACAGGACUGUAGAGAAGGGCAGAGAGGGAGCAGGAAGAGCAGAAGGGGAAAUGACCUGGUGUCCGCGGAACAAGUUGCUCCAAAGAGGUGGAGACGAACUGGGGAACAAGGGUCUCGGCCGUAGCUAGAGGUGGAUGUGGGAGCCACCCAGAAAAAAACAUGUUUUUUUUUUAAUCCCCCAAUCUAACUAAGUUAUAAAAACUUACCAAUAUCAUAAUGCAGAUUCUAUAAGGAAAAGUUUUUAAGUUCUUUAACUUUCUUUUUGGCGAGGUGUAAUUUGAAUAUGGCCAAGUACCCCAAGAACACAGAUCUUAAGGGUACAGGUCAAUGAAUUUUUGCAAGUAUAUAUACUCAUGUAACCACUAACCAGGUCAAGAGGGAGAACAUUUCCAGCACCCCAGAAAUUUCUCUUGUGCCCCAUCCCUGGCAGUCCUCCCACUCCAGAAGCAACCACCGAUCUAACUGUGGUCACUACUGAUCGGUGGUGCCUGCUCCGGAACUUCAGGAUAGCAGCUUCUUGGUCUGGAGCAUAUCAAUCAGGACUGCCUGUCCUGCUCCCAAGGAUUCACAGCUUCAUCCCUGAAGGGGUGUGAGCUUUUAUGGGGAUUCCUGAAUUCUCUCUUCUUGGCUGGAUAAUCUUCGGAAAUUAUGACCUACCAAUUCUGGCAGACCUAGGCUGCCACCUCCUCACUGAGACCUGCCAUACGGUGUAGGAGCCUGUGUCUGUGAUUGUGUUUACCAUGGCUUGGGUGCCAAUGGCCACUGUUUGAAUUGUCGCGGACUAAUGAGAAAAAGCAAAGGCCAAUGGAGAAGCAAAAGGCACUGUGAGCCAAGCCAAGGGAGUGCGAUGUCACUGUCCCCGUCCCUGAGCUCUGGCCGAAUCAAGUGGUCCCAGCAGAAGGAGGGCAAACUGAGUCACAUUUUGGCCCCACAAGCCAGCCCAGUGCAGAAGCACUGGGGCCUGGGGCCUCUCUUCACAACAGCAGCAGAGAUUGAGUUACUGAAACAAGGUCACCCAUGUCAGUGCUGUAAUUAACAUUUAUUGGUUUUGCCACUUAUGUUUGAACUUGGUUUGUAAAUUUGCUUUGGUUUUACUGUUAAACAUAAAAGAGUCGUAGUUGGAAGGAAUUUUAUAUCCGUCCACAUAAGUGACUUGACAAUAAAAAUAGUUUAAAGCCAAACACUGGAGUUCUUUGUACAAUUUCUUCUUUUAAGUUUAGGAGGGACCUGCGCCUUAGAGGAGUUUAAGAAACUUGAUUGCAUCAUUCAUUUAUUCGUUAUUCAGCCACAAACCUUUACCGAGUGUCUGUGUGUACCAGGCCCUGCCCCAGCCCCCCGUACCAAGGCCAGAGUGCCUGCCUCAACAGCCACCCCAGCUGCCUUCUUGCAGACCCCUUCCCAC